rnacentral:lncRNA from 10 species
GAUCUGCUCCCGGACUCCUUCAGCGCGCUGCCUGCCUGCCCAGGGCCUUCCCGGAGAGCAGGUGACGGCGGCCUCCGGGCAUGGAGCUCGCGCUGACGAAAGGUUCUGGAAGCCGCCGUAAAAAGUAAUCAAGAAACGGGUGACAGGACUUUUCGUAAGACAUUUAAUUUUUACCCAGAGUAUCCGAAACAUUGCCGUGUCAAUCUCAGUGCGAUGGGAGACUGCCGGCCCCAAGGAGCUGCUCGUCCUUCUGCCGAGUUCCGGCCCGGACCCGCGGAGGAGGAGACCGCCGCGCCGGAGCUCGGACCUGACGUUUUUGUGAAGCACAGGGGGCGUGGGAGGGACCGGAUCAAUGCGGCACUCAACAAAACCUGUUUUUAAAAGAGUCGUGCUGUGUCGCCCAGGCUGGAGUGCAGUGACGCGAUCUCGGCUCACUGCAGCCUCCACCUUCCGGGCUCAAGCGAGCCUCCCGCCUCAGCCUCCUGAGUAGCUGGGAUUACAGGCACACACCUCCAGCUCGGCUGUUUUAUUUAUUUAUUUUUUUUUUGAGACGUAAUUUAGCUCAUGUUGACCAGGCUGGAGUGCAGUGGCGCGAUCUGGGCUCACCGCAACCCCCGCCUCCCGGGUUCAAGCGAUUUUCCGCCUCAGCCUCCUG